AGUAACCAAUCCACCUAGUUUAAGCAGAAAUGAAUUUAAUUCCAGGAAUUAAGUGCCUACAGAGUCAUUGGAAGUGAUGGAGGAACAGAUAAUCUCUAGGCUGAGAAGAGAUUCCAAAAAACCCCACAGAACUGGUCCACCGAGGGAAAGGAAUUGCUACUUCUGCUAUAAUCAGGAAGCUACAGGGGUAGGAGGCAACUGCUGGCUCCAUGUCUACACCACUGGCGGUUGGGGGUCAAAAAGCUGCCCCUAGAACAGCUGGCUCCAGAGCCGCGUUGUACCUGCUGGAAUCCACCACAGCAAAACAGCUGCUGCCACUCUCCCCUGCGAGUCCCAGUAAGUGUGUCCCAUGGUGACUGAGUCCCUCCUGGAGCCACACCUGCAGCGAGUUUGGGAAAUGCAGACCCUAGCUUUCCAGCCUCUGCCGUGGAGGAAGUUAUCCCAGAAGGAGGUUGGAACAGAAGCUGAGUGAGCCAACCGACGCUCUCCACUACAGGUGCCAAGCAGAUGCAUGUGCUGCACCUGGAACCUCAAGCACCAGGCAUCUUCGUGAACACCCCCUUCCGACCCAAGCGCACACACUGAGGAAAGGCCGUGCGAGGGCCCUGUGAGAAGGUGGCCUUCUGGAAACCGGGAAUAGAGUCCUCAUGGAACCAACACUGCCAGGACCUUCAUCGUGGACGUCCAGCCCCCAGAACUGUGAGAUAAUAAAUGUCUGUCGUUUAA